rnacentral:tRNA from 2 species
CCGGGCGUAGCGCAGUCUGGUAGCGCACUACAAUGGGGUUGUAGGGGUCGGAUGUUCGAAUCAUCUCGCCCGGACCA